rnacentral:tRNA from 2 species
AGGGCAGUAGUUCCAACGGCAGAACGUCGGUCUCCAAAACCGAAUGUUGGGGGUUCGAAUCCCUCCUGCCCUGCCA